UUAAAGAUAAGCUAAAUUUUUAAGCUAUUGGGCUCAUAACCCAAACAUGAGUAAUCUCUUUAAA
rnacentral:tRNA from 1 species